rnacentral:lncRNA from 1 species
UUCAAUUUCAAAAUCUACACCCAUGAGCUAUGUGGCAUCACCAAAAGUUGAAGGAAUCGUCAUGCUAUAAUUUGGGAGCUUUUUGACCCAAUUGAUGUUCCAACCUUAAAGAAAACAACAAAAGUCCAUGAAAAAUGACUUCCCCAAUAGCAAGAAAUGUGAUACUUGUACAUUGAUCACUCACAAAAGAAAAAAAUGCCAAGGGACUUCUAAACUCCAACUUCUAAAAGUCGACACAAAAUCAAGUGCAAAUUUUCUUCAAUAAAUGUGGCCCAUAAAAUCCAAUAUCAAAUUGAAGUGCAACAAUACUUCAUCCCAAAGGGUUGGGAGAAAAGUUAUAUUACAAUAAUUUUUUCCUAAAAUGAUCCUCGAUGUAUGAGCCUAAAUUGCAAGUCAAAUCGCUCCUUGAUGCACGAUCCUGAACUGAGUCAACCCGCUCUUUCACGCACAAGCCUGAACUGUAAGUCAAAAUACUAAUUGAUGCACAAGCCUAAAAUUUAAGUCAAAUCGCUCCUCAAUACACGAGCAUAAACUUUAAUCGAAAUACUCCUGGUUGCACGAGCCUAAGUUGUAAGUUAAAUUACUCUUUGACGCCCGAGUCUAAACUGCAAGUUGAAAUGCUCCUCAAUGCGUGAGACUUAACUGCAAGUCAAACUACUCCUCAAUGCAUGAGCCUAAGCUGCAAGUCAAAUCGCUCUUUGAUACACGAGUUUAAACUGCAAGUCAAAAUACUCCUCGAUCCAUGAGCCUAAACUACAAGCCAAAUUGUUCUUCGACGCACGAGCAUAAACUGUAAGUUGAAAUGCUUUUUGACUCAUGAGCCUAAAACUACAAAUUGGAACCCUCCUUAAGGCACGAGCAUAAACUGCAUGUUUCUCCUGUCCUACAUGAGUUUAAAUUGUGUAUGGCC